ACAGGUACGCGUAAUGCGCGUGUACAUCGCAUGUAAUUUUCAUAGUUUGACGAUUAGGAGAGUCGUGGCAACUUUCAUGAAUUGCCUCAUUAAACUGAACGCAACUGAACGAGAAAAAGAUUCCUUUUGACUAUUCAUCUUCGUUAGACUCUAUUGACUGUUGAACUUCUGUAACAUAGUACAAAGUAUUUUUUUUUACUCUUUAAUGAUACUCUUUGAUAGAUGAUAAUUUUUUGAUCGGUGGAAACUGGUUCAAACGUUGGUUUCCAUUGAAAAUAAAAUUAUACGAUUAACGAUGUGACCCAGUGUAAGCUGGCCGAAUUAAGCUGUUACUUUGACACUUCAACGACCGUAAUCCGUAGCAUGAGUGGUUCGUGUUAUCGAAGUGUGUUAUUCUAUUAAACUCGUUACGCGGCUAAAGCGAGAGACCAGUCUGCUCGAGUUUGCGUUACUAUGUUCCGAGUAGUGUCUCUCGGUCUGGUCACGAAAUUCGGGUUUCCCAAAAAUAAGAUAUCGCUGCUUUCCUCGUAUUUCCCAUUAGUCGUUGCGCACCUUUCGCAUUUGUAGUCGGAACGAAGUUGGACGAAUUUGAUCUGCCGAAGUUGACGUUUCCUUCUGUCGCAAUGAUUCUGCAGACGGAUAAGAGGCGGAAAAGGAAGGACCAGAAGGAAACGGAAGGGGAUGAAGUAAAUGGAGGAAAGACGACAGAACGAAGAGGAAUUGAUGGAAAUAGGUAGAAAAGGAUAAGGGAGGAAAUAGGAGGAAAAGGAGAAGAUGAGAAAAUGGAAGGAAGAAGGCGAAGAGACGUGGAGAAGAAAACAAGACAGAAGCGAAGGAAGAAACUGUGGAAGAAAAGGGAAGGAGAGAUUCUACGAAGAAAUGAAAUGAAAGAAACGACAGAAGAAAAAAGUAUUAAAUAAUAAAAGAUAAUCGAACUCACCUUUUGACGAAGGUUGGAAUCAACGAAAUUCUUGACCACAUUGACAGAUAAAGCUUGCUUGUUCUCCAACGUAUGUAUGCCCCAAAAUGCAGAGUCUCUUCGAAUAACUGCGAAUGAUAUUUGCUUUACGUAAAUGUCACAAAAUUUCAAGAUCGGGAAAGUAGAGGAAACGAUAUGAGUGUCCUCCGAGUAAUCACGACGGCGACUUCACUGAUCUCUGAUUUGGUUGGCAAGAGGGUGGAGGUAAUAUAUAAACGUUCGCCAGGAGUACCGCAGGCGCAGAGGCACCCUGUUUUGCUUGUCCCAUAGUCUACGAGUGGGGGGUUCUAGUUUCUACCUAUCGUGUGUGAGAUACCACCCCAUGCCACAUCCCAGUGUUGCAUUAGUGUUUAAAGGAGCAACCAGUGGUAGAGGGGGGCUUAACACCUGUUAUGAAGGAGAAGAUGCGCGAGGCCGGAAGUGGCCAGCUUUUACUCUAUUAAAACAAAAACUGACCUUUUUUCGUAUCAUGCUUUUCAGAUGUUUUCCUUAUUCCAGAUGUUUGCCUUAUGAGCCUUCGUUCUUUCUAUGUUUACGUGUUCUUUAUAAUUCUUCAUCUUUCUCUUCUGUUCUUUACGAUUUGCUAUGAUCCUUCGUUGUUUUCGGAUAACGCGAAC